GUGAAUCAUCAAAUCUUUGAACGCAAAUUGCACUCUCUGGUAAUCCGGAAAGUAUGUCUGUUUGAGGGUCAGAUAAAUCAAAAUAGGCGUUGUUGCUACCUGUCGUGGUGUGUGAUGUAUCGGAAUUGAGUCGUUUUUUACUUUUGGUUCAAGUGAUUUAAAAUUAUGUUCGAUUUUUGAACGUAUUUAAAUCAUCAUCUACGUUUGUAAUAUUACAUCUUUAGUGCGGUUAUUCA
rnacentral:misc_RNA from 1 species